rnacentral:rRNA from 1 species
GACGAACGCUGGCGGCGUGCUUAACACAUGCAAGUCGAACGAACAGACCCUGCUUUUGUUGCGUGCUCGUUUGCCGAACAGGUGAGUAACACGUGAGUAAACCGCCCUUGACUGACGGAUAACAUCACGGAACUCGGGCUCAUACCGGAGAGAAGCUACUGCUCCGUGGGGGGGGAUAGUAAGUUUCGGCGGUUGGGGAUGGACUCGAGGCUUAUCAGCUGGUUGGGGUGGUAGUGGCUUACCAAGGCUUUGACGGGUAGCCGGCCUGGGAGGGUGACCGGCGACAUGGGGACUGAGAGACGGCGCAGACUCCUACGGGACGCAGUAGUGGGGAAUAUUGCACAAUGGGCGGAAGCCUGAUGCAGCAACGCCGCGUGCGGGAUGACGGCCUUCUGGUGGUAAACCGCUUUCGCCUGUGACGAAGCGUGAGUGACGGUAAUGGGUAAAGAAGCACCGGCUAACUACGUG